CCAUUCGGCCGCUACACAUGCAGUCGAGCGGUAACAUUUCAAAAGCUUGCUUUUGAAGAUGACGAGCGGCGGACGGGUGAGUAAUGCCUGGGAAUUUGCCCAUUUGUGGGGGAUAACAGUUGGAAACGACUGCUAAUACCGCAUACGCCCUACGGGGGAAAGCAGGGGACCUUCGGGCCUUGCGCUGAUGGAUAAGCCCAGGUGGGAUUAGCUAGUAGGUGAGGUAAAGGCUCACCUAGGCGACGAUCCCUAGCUGGUCUGAGAGGAUGAUCAGCCACACUGGGACUGAGACACGGCCCAGACUCCUACGGGAGGCAGCAGUGGGGAAUAUUGCACAAUGGGGGAAACCCUGAUGCAGCCAUGCCGCGUGUGUGAAGAAGGCCUUCGGGUUGUAAAGCACUUUCAGCGAGGAGGAAAGGGUGUAAGUUAAUACCUUACAUCUGUGACGUUACUCGCAGAAGAAGCACCGGCUAACUCCGUGCCAGCAGCCGCGGUAAUACGGAGGGUGCGAGCGUUAAUCGGAAUUACUGGGCGUAAAGCGUGCGCAGGCGGUUUGUUAAGCGAGAUGUGAAAGCCCCGGGCUCAACCUGCGAACCGCAUUUCGAACUGGCAGACUAGAGUCUUGUAGAGGGGGGUAGAAUUCCAGGUGUAGCGGUGAAAUGCGUAGAGAU
rnacentral:rRNA from 1 species